rnacentral:rRNA from 1 species
GAACGGCAGCAUUUUCUAGCUUGCUAGAAAGAUGGCGAGUGGCGAACGGGUGAGUAACGCGUAGGAAUAUGCCUUGAAGUGGGGGACAACUUGGGGAAACUCAAGCUAAUACCGCAUAAUAUCUAAGGAUGAAAGCUGGGGACCUUCGGGCCUGGCGCUUUAAGAUUAGCCUGCGUCCGAUUAGCUAGUUGGUGGGGUAAGGGCCUACCAAGGCGACGAUCGGUAGCUGGUCUGAGAGGAUGACCAGCCACACUGGAACUGAGACACGGUCCAGACUCCUACGGGAGGCAGCAGUGGGGAAUAUUGGACAAUGGGGGCAACCCUGAUCCAGCAAUGCCGCGUGUGUGAAGAAGGCCUGAGGGUUGUAAAGCACUUUCAGUGGGGAGGAGGAUGAUUAGGUUAAGAGCUAGAUUAUUGGACGUUACCCACAGAAGAAGCACCGGCUAACUCCGUGCCAGCAGCCGCGGUAAUACGGAGGGUGCAAGCGUUAAUCGGAAUUACUGGGCGUAAAGAGUGCGUAGGUGGUUGAAUAAGUUAUCUGUGAAAUCCCUGGGCUUAACCUGGGCAGGUCAGAUGAUACUGUUUGACUCGAGUAUGGGAGAGGGUAGUGGAAUUUCCGGUGUAGCGGUGAAAUGCGUAGAGAUCGG